AAUUGGAGGGCAAGUCUGGUGCCAGCAGCCGCGGUAAUUCCAGCUCCAAUAGCGUAUAUUAAAGUUGUUGCAGUUAAAAAGCUCGUAGUUGAAUUUCGGGAUUGACGUGACGGUCGUGCCUUACGGGGUAUGAACUGUCGCCGUUGAUUUCUCACCUUCUGGAGAAGCUCGAUGUCCUUAAUUGGGUGUCUUGCGGAACCAGGACCUUUACCUUGAAAAAAUUAGAGUGUUUAAAGCAGGCAUUUUGCUCGAAUACAUUAGCAUGGAAUAAUAGAAUAGGACGGCAUGGUUCUAUUUUGUUGGUUUCUAGGAUCACCGUAAUGAUUAAUAGGGAUAGUUGGGGGCAUUAGUAUUCAAUUGUCAGAGGUGAAAUUCUUGGAUUUAUUGAAGACUAACUACUGCGAAAGCAUUUGCCAAGGAUGUUUUCAUUAAUCAAGAACGAAAGUUAGGGGAUCGAAGACGAUCAGAUACCGUCGUAGUCUUAACCAUAAACUAUGCCGACUAGGAAUCAGACGAUGUUAAUUUUUUAAUGACUCGUUUGGCACCUUACGGGAAACCAAAGUGU
rnacentral:rRNA from 1 species